rnacentral:tRNA from 1 species
UGGCUCAGUGGUUAAGAGCAUUGGUUUCCUUCCAGAGAUCCUGGGUUCAAUUCCCAG